GUACACACCGCCCGUCAAGCCACCCAAGUAGGGCGCACCCGUAGUCGCUGACCCAACCUCCGGGAAGGAGGCGCCGAAGGUGAGUUCUAUGAGGGGGACUAAGUCGUAACAAGGUAGCCGUAGGUGAACCUGCAGAAGGAUCA
rnacentral:rRNA from 1 species